rnacentral:rRNA from 1 species
CCCACCGGGGCGACAGCAAUAUGAAGGUCAGGCUGAAGACCUUACCCGAUUAGCUGAGAGGUGGUGCAUGGCCGUCGUCAGUUCGUACUGUGAAGCAUCCUGUUAAGUCAGGCAACGAGCGAGACCCACGUCCACAGUUGCCAGCAUACCCUCCGGGGUGAUGGGUACACUGUGGAGACCGCCGCUGCUAAAGCGGAGGAAGGAGUGGGCAACGGUAGGUCAGUAUGCCCCGAAUCUCCCGGGCUACACGCGGGCUACAAUGGUUGGUACAAUGGGCAUCUACCCCGAAAGGGGAAGGAAAUCUCUUAAAGCCAAUCGUAGUUCGGAUUGAGGGCUGCAACUCGCCCUCAUGAAGCUGGAAUCCGUAGUAAUCGCGUUUCAACAGAACGCGGUGAAUACGUCCCUGCUCCUU